rnacentral:lncRNA from 1 species
GAGAUUUGUGGUAGUAUGAUGGUGGCGACUCAUGCUUGUAUGGUGGAGGCGGUGGAGAUUCGUACUUGUAUGCUGGUGGCGGUGGCGAUUUGUACUUGUAAGGAGGUGGCGGUGGUGACUCGUACUUGUAUACUGGUGGCGGUGGAGAUUUGUACUUGUAAGGAGGUGGCGGCGGUGACUCGUACUUAUAAGGUGGUGGAGGUGGUGACUCGUACUUGUAAGGCGGAGGAGGUGGUGACUCGUAUUUGUAGGGUGGUGGCGGCGGCGAUUUGUACUUGUAUGGUGGUGGUGGUGGCGACUCAUACUUGUAUGGAGGCGGCGGUGGUGACUCAUAUUUAUAGGGUGGUGGUGGCGGCGAUUUAUACUUGUAUGGUGGUGGUGGUGGCGACUCAUACUUGUAUGGAGGUGGCGGUGGUGACUCGUACUUGUAUGGAGGCGGCGGUGGUGACUCAUAUUUAUAAGGCGGUGGCGGUGGUGACUCGUACUUGUAUGGAGGCGGCGGUAGUGACUCAUAUUUAUAAGGUGGUGGCGGAGGUGACUCGUACUUGUAUGGAGGAGGUGGCGGAGAUUCAUACUUGUAUGGAGGCGGCGGUGGUGACUCAUAUUUAUAGGGUGGUGGCGGAGGUGACUCGUACUUGUAAGGAGGAGGUGGCGGAGAUUCGUACUUAUAGGGUGGCGGCGGUGGCGACUCGUACUUGUACGGUGGUGGUGGUGGCGAUUUGUACUUGUAAGGAGGUGGCGGUGGCGACUCGUACUUAUAAGGUGGUGGAGGUGGCGAUUCGUACUUGUAAGGUGGCGGAGGUGGUGAUUCGUACUUGUAAGGUGGCGGAGGUGGUGAUUCAUAAUUAUAGGGAGGUGGUGGAGAAGAGUAAAUGUAAGGAUCACCGGAAACCACACCUACAUUCGUCGUUACUACUAAAACCACCGCAAAUGCCGCUACCAUGAUCGACGGUAGAAACUUCCGACGACGGCGACCCCUUUCGGGGCCGUCUCUUCCUUCAGUCAUCCGCGAAUUAAUUGGAAAGACGAAGCAAGUAAGUUGGAGUGGGAUGAUGUUGGAAAG